rnacentral:misc_RNA from 1 species
GUUGGAGUUUUGGCACAACAAAGGUAACAGAUAGCUUUCUAUUAUUUCUCUCUAUUAAAGCUCUGUUUUGACACGAAUGUAAGGCGGAUUCUUGUUUUCCAAAAACGGGUUAGCUUCAAAAUGGGAUUUUGAUGAUGGGUUUUUGUGAACUGCUUGUUUUAUUCUUUUUUUCGAUUUUUGUGAAUUGAAUUUGCUUCUACAUGGGCUUUUUUUUCUUAUUAGUGCUGCUCAUAUUUGGAUUCUGCUCUGUUUUUAAUUUGAUGAUUUGGGUUGGGAGUUCUAUAAGAUCUUGGUGGUGGAUUCAGAGCUUAAACUGAGUUGAUUUUGUGCUGUUGGAGUUUCAUUUUUGUAACCCUGUUGGGUUUAGAUGAAUUCUCUUAAUUGCCGUUAUGCUAAUGCAUAUGGUGAGAAGUGAUUGGAAGUGCAUGUUGUUUUGAGAUAAAUUUCUCUUUGCUAUUCGCUUGUUUAAAUCAGCUUGUUCAAGAAUAUCUAUUAGGUUUGCUAAGAUUUCUGGAUUUGACAUUUCAGAGUUUCGGUACAUUACCAGCUCCUAGUUAUACCAAUGAGGAAUUUAUAUGAAAAACUAAAGUUUUUUUGUUAUAUAGGAUUACCAUGAUAUUUAUUUGGGGCUGUGAGUACAUUUUUCAUGUGAUUCCACUUAACUAUCCGUUUAUUUGCCUUUAUUGAUUCCCUCUUGUCAAUUCAUUGUGUCACGGAUAGCUAACUCAUCUCUGGUUAAAGUUUUCUCGGUUCUUGGCUAUUUGGUUUUUAAUGGAUCCAGUCCAAAAAGAAAUGAUGCUUCCAUUUACCCUUCAAAUGGUUACAACAACAUUAUUGUCUCUUUCCAACUUUUCCCCAUACUUGCUUCAGAUUUUAAGUGUCUCAAAAACAUGAAGUCAAGACAUCCUAAUUGUUAUUAGAGUUUUAAUAUAUUUAAGUUCAGAAAAUAGAAUUAUUUGGGGAGUGUCUGGUUUGCUAUAUUCUAUCUCAAAGAGUCAAACCUUGUAAAAUUAUCACAAAAUUUCAUAUCUCAUUAGAAUCAUGAUAACAUAUUCGGUAUUAAUGACAUUAUUAACGCUCACUGGUGCUUAUGAAUUGAUAUUGAUCUCA